rnacentral:lncRNA from 1 species
CUGGUUCUUUGAAACUAAGAAUAAACACAAAACUUUGUUAGAAUUUAUUAAAGAAGCAAAAAGAUUUUAAAAUCCUUAUAAUGGAUUGUAAAGAAUAGUAUUUAAAUUACAUUUCAAAUUCUUAGCUAAGUAACAAGAGAAUCACUGGGACUUUGCAACUCUUCAUAAUUUUCUCACAAAAUCAGAGCAAUUGAGAUGGCUCAGUACUUUCAAGGAAAUGCUGGAACAAUGUAUUAGGCGAACUGCUUUUUUUCCUUUUUUUUUGGUCUUUUGCUAUUUUAUAGUUUGCUUAAGAAACUUAAGAACAAGUGACUGGGGCCGGGCGCAGUGGCUCACCCCUGUAAUCCCAGCACUUUGGGAGGCCGAGGGGGGUGGAUCACGAGGUCAGGAGAUCAAAACCAUCCUGGCUAACACGGUGAAACCCUGUAUCUACUAAAAAUACAAAAAAUUAGCCAGGUGUGGUGGCGGGUGCCUGUAGUCCCAGCUACUCGGGAGGCUGAGGCAGGAGAAUGGCGUGAACCCGGGAGGCGGAGCUUGCAGUGAGCCGAGACCGCGCCACUGCACUCCAGCCUGGGCGACAGAGCGAGACUCCAUCUCAAAAAACGCGUACAGCAAAAAAGGGUGCCGUUACAUAGGUCAUUGGAUGCUAUCACUGGAAUGUCUGUUGAGAAAUAAACGUUUUACCAUCUGUAGACACAUGAGGGCGCUUUAAGCAGGCAGCGUGGGAUGCAGCGUGCAAAGGGAGGGAGGGAGGAAGAAAGCUUUGUCAAAGGUAGCCUGAAAUUCAGGCAUCUCCCUAUCUGGUUGCGGACCUGUGCCUGCGUCGGGGUGGGGAGCACCGAAUCGAUUUAGGAAAAGAACUGCGCAGGCCCUUGAUCCCCACUUCUCAUGGUGAAAUCAAGUUUGAGGUUCAAAUCAAGGCUUUCAGAGAGUCAGAAUUUCCAAAUCUGUUACUUUGUCAAAAAACUGCUUUUAAUCUGGUAACGUUUCCCAUUAACCUCAUUUGAUGUCCUUCCCUAAGAAUGUUUAAUUAGAAUCUCCUUUUCUGAUGCCAGCAGAAUUGAACUGCUUGUGAACUGAGCUUUAAAUUGGACAUGUUGUGUUUCUAGUCCUCCACUGAGGGUGAAUUUUGCAGCAAUUUGCGUUUAACUUUCUGUGUCUUGCUGCAUUAAGCACUUCUAGAAUAGGAUCAACAGGACAGAGCUGGAGUAUGCAGAGAUUCUCAAAAGAAAUGUAAAUUUGGAAUGUAAUUGGGAACCCAACAGGGAGGUGUGGAUUUCACGGAUGAAGUCUUGGUGGAAGAUCUAAGUGCCACAAUGUGAGUUUGAAGUUAUUCCAUCUUCAUAAGGAUUAAACUAUUUUAACCUCUACUAGGCAAAUGUUUAAGAGAAUAAUCUGACUACUGUGCAUUAAGUAGAGAGAUUAGAGUUUAAAACACUUUAAAUGAAUGGCAGAAUAGGACUCAGUUCUCUAGGAUCACACCAAUAGUUCCACCAGACAGAUGAAGAUAUGUAAUACAGUGUUUAAGCGGCCUGACAUUGGCACUAAAAUAUUGAAAUUACUGUUUCAAAAAUGCAAACUAAUAAAUGCUUACAUGCCCAGGGUCUAUAAGAAAGGCAAAAACCAGCCAGGCGAGGUCAAGAGUGGUUGGGUUCAACUCUGACAAAGGCAGGUGAACUCCUGACCUGGCAAAUUCAUUUUUUUCCCUGUUCCAAGAAUUACUUGACUCAUCUUUAAAGCGGUCACAUUUACACUGACAUUUUUCAGUGGUGAGCAAAAUCUUGCUACAUAAAAAACUGUGCAAAAUCCUUCCGUCUUGUAAUAUAUGAAUUCAGGGCCUCAGAUGGGGUAAACAGGGCCUACAGUGCCGAACAUUUAUCUUUCUUAUUUGAACGAACAACUCUUCCUUCCUUCCUGGAAUGUGACUUAACGUUAAGAAUUUCUAUUAAAUCUCUGGGUACACCCAGAGACCUCAGAAAGCUCUCUACAGAGAGAGCAAACAUCCUCCUGUACUUGGCAAAAGAAGAAACAGAUGCUUGCGUGGCUUGCAGGCUCAGCUGCUCAGGGCCGCUCUGUGGAAGAGAACCAGUGAACCUGGGUUGCCAGAAAAAAUGUUAAUGUUGAGUUGAGAAUAAGCAUUUGCACUUGUGAGUAGUCAACAGAUAUGUAGGACAUGUGAGUGCAACGGAAGCGGCACCCAAACUGGACUGCCCUGUAGUCAAAGUUAGGGGAACUGGGGCUAUUUUGGGUUUGGGCCAUUGGGUAUCCAUUUUCCCUUUCUGAGAAGUACCCCUUCUCCAUCUAGCUCAGGAACUCUGGGAAGAUGGCCACACCCAGGCUCCAGGGGUGGGCUCUAAUUAGUCUAUGCAAAUUAGUUCAUCCCAUUCACUUCUCUCCCCCCUUUCAUGAUUGGUUUAAGAGACAGGCCUACCAGCAAUGGUAUGCAAGACCUUUGCUGGGAUUUCUGAGAAAGACACUUGCUCUGUGUAGAAGCUACUAGGAUAACUUCUCUCCUCUGGACAGUGUGGAAAAUAGACUUGAGUCUUAAGAGCAUGGUGGCCCUUUGCCACAAUUCUGAAUGCAAUGUCAACCCAAGGAGGAAAGGAGAGCUAAGAUAAUUAAGAGAUGGGAGCUGGCCGGGUACGGUGGCUCAUGCCUGUAAUUCCGGCAGUUUCGGAGGCCAAAGCAGGUGGAUCACCUGAGGUCAGGGGUUUGAGACCAGCCUGGACAACAUGGUGAAAUCCUGUCUGUACUAAUAAUAUAAAAAUUAGCAGGGCGUGGUGGCACAUGCCUGUAAUCCCAGCUACUCGGAAGGCCGGGCAGGAGAAUGGCUUGAACCCAGGAGGCGGAGGUUGCAGUGAGCCGAGAUCAUGCCAUUGCACUCCACCUGGGUGACAAAGCAAGACUGUCUCAAAAAAAGAAAAAGAAAAAAGAAAAAAAAAAAAGAGAUGGGAGCUGAAAUCCUGAUCAAAUUGGACCAACUGGACUUUUCACUCACUGAACCAAUAAAUUCUUAUUGUUGAAGCUAGGCUCAGCUGAGGUUUGUAGUACUUGCAACCAAUGUUUCCAACUGCCCAACUGCCACAUGGUGUGUCUAAGAUGAUCAGGGUGCAUAUCCAUCUAUUUGUGUAAUCUAAUUGAAAGGGCAUAUAUAUAUUUUCCUGAAAGAGUACUUGUCUCAACAGAAACAGUAUUUAUUGUACACAGCUUUGCACCACAACCUCUAGUCUCUAAAGUUUUUUUUGAAAGCACUAAACAGUACAUUCAAUAACUAGGUGGGUAUCAAUAAAAGAAACUAGCCAGGUGUCAAAUGCAGCAUAUUUUAAUUUGUUUCAAAUAAAGCAAUAUAUGUAUAUAUAUUUUUUCAGAAAAACACC